rnacentral:tRNA from 1 species
GCGGGGGUGGCAGAGCCUGGCCAAAUGCGCUAUUUCAUUCCCAAAUGGGGAUGGAGCGUAAGCUUGAGGGGCUAGUCCCUUAGUGGGUGCGCGUGUUCGAAUCACGUCCCCCGCA